UACGUAGGGGGCAAGCGUUGUCCGGAUUCAUUGGGCGUAAAGAGCUCGUAGGCGGUUCGGCAAGUCGGGUGUGAAAACUCCAGGCUCAACCUGGAGACGCCACCCGAUACUGCUGUGACUUGAGUCCGGUAGGGGACCACGGAAUUCCUGGUGUAGCGGUGAAAUGCGCAGAUAUCAGGAGGAACACCGGUGGCGAAGGCGGUUCUCUGGGCAUUACCUGACGCUGAGGAGCGAAAGUGUGGGGAGCGAACAGG
rnacentral:rRNA from 1 species